rnacentral:rRNA from 1 species
AACGAACGCUGGCGGCAGGCCUAUCACACGCAAGUCGAGCGAAGCCUUCGGGCUUAGCGGCGGACGGGUGAGUAACGCGUGGGAACGUGCCCUUUGCUACGGAAUAGCCCCGGGAAACUGGGAGUAAUACCGUAUGUGCCCUUCGGGGGAAAGAUUUAUCGGCAAAGGAUCGGCCCGCGUUGGAUUAGGUAGUUGGUGGGGUAAUGGCCUACCAAGCCGACGAUCCAUAGCUGGUUUGAGAGGAUGAUCAGCCACACUGGGACUGAGACACGGCCCAGACUCCUACGGGAGGCAGCAGUGGGGAAUCUUAGACAAUGGGGGAAACCCUGAUCUAGCCAUGCCGCGUGAUCGAUGAAGGCCUUAGGGUUGUAAAGAUCUUUCAGUGGGGAAGAUAAUGACUGUACCCACAGAAGAAGCCCCGGCUAACUCCGUGCCAGCCGCCGCGGUAA